rnacentral:rRNA from 1 species
GACGGAAGGUGCAAGCGUUGCUCGGAAUCACUGGGAGUAAAGGGUGCGUAGGCGGCCGUGCAAGUCUGGCGUGAAAGCCCCGGGCUCAGCCCGGGAAGUGCGCUCGAAACUGCGCGGCUCGAGUACAGAAGAGAAGAGUGGAAUUCCACGUGUAGCGGUGAAAUGCGUAGAGAUGUGGAGGAACACCAGUGGCGAAGGCGACUCUUUGGUCUGUAACUGACGCUGAGGCGCGAAAGCGUGGGGAGCAAACAGG